GAGUUUGAUCCUGGCUCAGAUUGAACGCUGGCGGCGUGCUUAACACAUGCAAGUCGAACGAGAAAGGGACUUCGGUCCUGAGUAGAGUGGCGCACGGGUGAGUAACGCGUAGGUAAUCUACCUCUGCAUCUGGGAUAACACUUCGAAAGGGGUGCUAAUACCGGAUACACUUAUGAAUCGCAAGGUUCAUAAGGAAAGGAGACCUCUCCUUGGAAGUUUCUGUGUAGAGAUGAGCCUGCGUCCCAUUAGCUAGUUGGCAGGGUAAUGGCCUACCAAGGCGACGAUGGGUAGCGGGUCUGAGAGGAUGAUCAGCCACACUGGAACUGAGACACGGUCCAGACUCCUACGGGAGGCAGCAGUGGGGAAUUUUGCGCAAUGGGGGAAACCCUGACGCAGCAACGCCGCGUGAGUGAUGAAGGCUUUCGGGUCGUGAAGCUCUGUCAGAGGGGAAGAAAUGAAACGUGCUAAUAUCACGUUUUCUUGACGGUACCCUCAAAGGAAGCACCGGCUAACUCCGUGCCAGCAGCCGCGGUAAUAC
rnacentral:rRNA from 1 species